rnacentral:rRNA from 1 species
CGGCGGACGGGUAAGUAACGCGUGAGCAAUCUGCCUCUGUCAUCGGGAUAACAUUUAGAAAUAGGUGCUAAUACCGAAUAAGACCACGAUGCGGCAUCGCAUUGGGGUAAAAAGGUUACUGGACAGAGAUGGGCUCGCGUCCGAUUAGGUAGUUGGUGAGGUAACGGCCCACCAAGCCGACGAUCGGUAGCCGGACUGAGAGGUUGAACGGCCACAUUGGGACUGAGACACGGCCCAGACCCCUACGGGAGGCAGCAG